UGGAUCAGCUAAAGGGACAGUGGAAAAGAUUGAGUCCUCAAAAGUGGUUACCGAAGUCAAACGCGUGUAUAACGUUACCAUGGAUUACCUAGAGGACGUGUAUGACUGGACAGUCGGGAAACUGUGGUCAAAGUGGGAGAGUCUGACUGGAUAGGGUGGGGACACAGAAGAACUCUUCACAAUUUGAACUUGGAGCAACGUGGGCUGUAAAUCAUAUGUAUGAAAUAUUAUGUAUGUUCAUUAAAAUAAUUAAGUGCUAA